UCUUCAAUUUUAUUUGAAUCUGAUAAAAAGAUUACAUUUUUGGGUUAAACUUAACAUAUUCUGUGUGGGUUUUGAUUUUAUGAAUAAAUCUACCAAAGUUUGAAAUUGAAUCUGAUAUAGGGUUUAGAUCAAAUUUUAUUGAAUUGGUAUUAAAUGGGGAUAGGGAUUUGAUUAUUGAAUUGGUAUUCAAGGGGGAUAGGGUAGGAUUUUAUGAAUUUGUCAAAUUUAGGAUAUGUUCUAAUUUGUGUAAUUUGUUCUUUUCAUGUUAAAAUUAACUGACCCAUCUCAAUGGAUGAAUCAAACCCUUAGGUAACGUGUUUUAUCAGCUUUCCUUGUUGUUGCCAUUGAUUGACUGUUUUGUGUAUGCAUGUCUGAGAGAGAGACAGGGAGGGAAAGCUUAAGACUGUACUUAUGUUUAGAUCCAUGUGAUGAAUAUGAUAUGAUUAAUUUGAUGGACAACAUGUAAUUGAGGUUUCUCAUAUGAUUUCGGAACUUUGCUCGAGCCAUAGGUUUAUGAAUGACUAAAGAGAGGGCAGUGAAUAUAUGUAUUGAGUUUCGUGAUUAUACUUCAAAACUACUCCUAUAGCUGAUCAGUACAAGUUAACUACUAGUAGUUGAAUAGCAUCGGGAAGCAGUGGAGCUUCUAACGAAAUGUUUAAGAUUGAUACAUUCCAGAUAUCGAGAAUUUCAUCUCUUUAAAGUAGUAGUAGAAGAAGAAUAAUAGGUUUUUGGGUAACGCAUACAUUCCAGAUAUCGAGAAUUCUUCCUCAGAACCACCACCGGCGAAUGGAUAUUGAACAAGUAAUUGAGUUUUUAGCUCAUGUUCCGUUGCUACAGCGGCCUCCGGGUUCAUCUUUUGCUGAGGUCGCAAAAAUAGUGCAGUUCAAACAUUACAGUGAGUAGAUUUGUUACUAGGGUUCAUUUCAUUGCUACUGACGAUAGGACAAGUGUCCAUCUCAAAGAUUUGCAUCCCACAGAGUGUUGUUAAUACUUGGCAUCCAUGUAGCAAGCAACAAGAAUAUGACUUGUACAACAUUGGCAUCGUCACAACAGCAUUUCAUAAUACUGAUUCCCAUGAAUCCAACAAUUUAGUGGGCACUCCCGACCGUAGACUUGUCUCUAAUUCAUCGUAUCCACUUUCAAGUCAUUGGCGCGCUUUAGCUGGAGGAGGAGACUAUGAUGUAUGCGUGGCC